rnacentral:rRNA from 1 species
AUGAACGCUGGCGGCGUGCCUAAUACAUGCAAGUCGAGCGAACAGAUGAGGAGCUUGCUCCUCUGACGUUAGCGGCGGACGGGUGAGUAACACGUGGAUAACCUACCUAUAAGACUGGGAUAACUUCGGGAAACCGGAGCUAAUACCGGAUAAUAUAUUGAACCGCAUGGUUCAAUAGUGAAAGACGGUUUUGCUGUCACUUAUAGAUGGAUCCGCGCCGCAUUAGCUAGUUGGUAAGGUAACGGCUUACCAAGGCAACGAUGCGUAGCCGACCUGAGAGGGUGAUCGGCCACACUGGAACUGAGACACGGUCCAGACUCCUACGGGAGGCAGCAGUAGGGAAUCUUCCGCAAUGGGCGAAAGCCUGACGGAGCAACGCCGCGUGAGUGAUGAAGGUCUUCGGAUCGUAAAACUCUGUUAUUAGGGAAGUACAAAUGUGUAAGUAACUAUGCACGUCUUGACGGUACCUAAUCAGAAAGCCACGGCUAACUACGUG